rnacentral:rRNA from 1 species
UACGUAGGGGGCGAGCGUUGUCCGGAAUCAUUGGGCGUAAAGCGCGUGUAGGCGGCCCGGUAAGUCCGCUGUGAAAGUCCAGGGCUCAACCCUGGGAUGCCGGUGGAUACUGUCGGGCUCGAGUCCGGAAGAGGCGAGUGGAAUUCCUGGUGUAGCGGUGAAAUGCGCAGAUAUCAGGAGGAACACCAAUGGCGAAGGCAGCUCGCUGGGACGUGACUGACGCUGAGACGCGAAAGCGUGGGAGCAAACAGG